UCCCUGGCAGUUCAGUGGUUAGGACUUGGUGCUUUCACUGCCAAGGGUAACAGGUUCAAUCCCUGCUUGGGGAA
rnacentral:tRNA from 1 species